rnacentral:misc_RNA from 1 species
UCGCGGCUUAUCACCGGCAGUCCCCUUAGAGUGCCCAACUGAAUGCUGGCAACUAAAGACAAGGGUUGCGCUCGUUGCGGGACUUAACCCAACAUGUCACCACACGAGCUGACGACAGCCAUGCAGCACCUGUCACUUGGUCGUAUUGCUACGAAAACGCUAUCUCUAGCGCGGUCCAAGGAUGUCAAACCCAGGUAAGGUUCUUCGCGUUGCUUCGAAUUAAACCACAUGAUCCACCGCUUGUGCGGGCCCCCGUCAAUUCCUUUGAGUUUUAGUCUUGCGACCGUACUUCCCAGGCGGGGUACUUAUUGCGUUAGCGCCGGCUCAGCAGGGGUCAAGACCCGCCAAACCUAGUACCCAUCGUUUACAGCGUGGACUAC